rnacentral:rRNA from 1 species
CCUGACGAGUGGCGAACGGGUGAGUAAUGCAUCGGAACGUACCCAGUCGUGGGGGAUAACGUAGCGAAAGUUACGCUAAUACCGCAUACGUCCUGAGGGAGAAAGCGGGGGGACCGUAAGGCCUCGCGCGAUUGGAGCGGCCGAUGUCGGAUUAGCUAGUUGGUAGGGUAAAGGCCUACCAAGGCGACGAUCCGUAGCGGGUCUGAGAGGAUGAUCCGCCACACUGGGACUGAGACACGGCCCAG